AUUGAACGCUGGCGGCAGACUUAACACAUGCAAGUCGAGCGGGGGAAGGUAGCUUGCUACCGGACCUAGCGGCGGACGGGUGAGUAAUGCUUAGGAAUCUGCCUAUUAGUGGGGGACAACAUCUCGAAAGGGAUGCUAAUACCGCAUACGUCCUACGGGAGAAAGCAGGGGAUCUUCGGACCUUGCGCUAAUAGAUGAGCCUAAGUCGGAUUAGCUAGUUGGUGGGGUAAAGGCCUACCAAGGCGACGAUCUGUAGCGGGUCUGAGAGGAUGAUCCGCCACACUGGGACUGAGACACGGCCCAGACUCCUACGGGAGGCAGCAGUGGGGAAUAUUGGACAAUGGGGGGAACCCUGGUCCAGCCAUGCCGCGUGUGUGAAGAAGGCCUUAUGGUUGUAAAGCACUUUAAGCGAGGAGGAGGCUACUCUAGUUAAUACCUAGGGAUAGUGGACGUUACUCGCAGAAUAAGCACCGGCUAACUCUGUGCCAGCAGCCGCAGUAA
rnacentral:rRNA from 1 species